rnacentral:rRNA from 1 species
GAUGAACGCUGGUGGCGUGCCUAAUACAUGCCAGUCGAGCGAACGGACGAGAAGCUUGCUUUUCUGAUGUUAGCGGCGGACGGGUGAGUAACACGUGGAUAACCUACCUAUAAGACUGGGAUAACUUCGGGAAACCGGAGCUAAUACCGGAUAAUAUUUUGAACCGCAUGGUUCAAAAGUGAAAGACGGUCUUGCUGUCACUUAUAGAUGGAUCCGCGCUGCAUUAGCUAGUUGGUAAGGUAACGGCUUACCAAGGCAACGAUGCAUAGCCGACCUGAGAGGGUGAUCGGCCACACUGGAACUGAGACACGGUCCAGACUCCUACGGGAGGCAGCAGUAGGGAAUCUUCCGCAAUGGGCGAAAGCCUGACGGAGCAACGCCGCGUGAGUGAUGAAGGUCUUCGGAUCGUAAAACUCUGUUAUUAGGGAAGAACAUAUGUGUAAGUAACUGUGCACAUCUUGACGGUACCUAAUCAGAAAGCCACGGCUAACUACGUG